UCAGGAUGAACGCUAGCGACAGGCCUAACACAUGCAAGUCGAGGGGCAUCGGGGAGCGAAGCUUGCUUUGCUCCGCCGGCGACCGGCGCACGGGUGAGUAACGCGUAUGCAACCUGCCCGUUUCAGCGGGAUAACCCGGAGAAAUCCGGCCUAAUACCGCAUGUGGCCGAGGGAAGGCAUCUUCUUUCGGCCAAAGGAGGCGACUCCGGAGACGGAUGGGCAUGCGUGACAUUAGCUUGUUGGCGGGGUAACGGCCCACCAAGGCGACGAUGUCUAGGGGUUCUGAGAGGAAGGUCCCCCACACUGGUACUGAGACACGGACCAGACUCCUACGGGAGGCAGCAGUGAGGAAUAUUGGUCAAUGGGCGAGAGCCUGAACCAGCCAAGUCGCGUGAAGGAUGACGGCCCUACGGGUUGUAAACCUCUUUUGCCGGGGAGCAACGGGCGCCACGUGUGGCGCCACUGAGAGUACCCGGAGAAAAAGCAUCGGCUAACUCCGUGCCAGCAGCCGCGGUAAUACGGAGGAUGCGAGCGUUAUCCGGAUUUAUUGGGUUUAAAGGGUGCGUAGGCGGAUCGUUAAGUCAGUGGUCAAAUUGAGGGGCUCAACCCUUUCCCGCCAUUGAAACUG
rnacentral:rRNA from 1 species